GGGAUCGAUGAUGACCAAGGACAGUGCAUGACCUGUGAAUGCUGAAUAUGUCUCUGGAACUCUGAGGUCCUU
ensembl:snoRNA